UCAUCUCUUCUACUAUUACUAUAUAUAUUCCCAAAUCCAAAGUAGUCGAAAAGAUUUUACUUAAUUGCCUGACUGAGGUUAAUCUAAUUUGUUACUCUCUUCAAGAUUUUUUCAAAAAAAUGAUGUUGUAUUGUAUUAUAAGCUUUGUCAAUUCUUGAACGGAAAGAAUCCAAUUUGUUGUUUUUUUUUUUUUGAUGAUUAUCUUAUCUAAUUUACUUACUGGGUUUUGGUGAAAGAAUGAUAAUGAAAACUACAGUUUACUAAUUUCAACCAUGGGAGUAAAAAAAACUGAAGUAAGAAAAAUCUAAGGCCUUUGCAUCUUUUUUCCCGCGCUUUAAAUCCCACUUUUUU
rnacentral:lncRNA from 1 species